rnacentral:tRNA from 1 species
GCCAGUGUGGCAUAGUGGUUUGAGUGCUGGACUAAGACUCUAGAGAUAAGGGUUCAGUUCCCCACUCAACCA